UAGCAAACAGACAGACAAACAAAUUUUAAAAAAAUAUUCUGAGAAACUCAGUGUAGCGCCGAUAGUAAAAAGGUACAUAUAAAAAAUUCAACGCGGGUAAGACGAGAAGAUGCAGCUCCCAAGCAAGAAGUUGUUGUUGUGGUUGUUUCUUUACUUUUGCGUGAAGUCAACUUCGAAUGAUGGACCACAUAAAUUUGCAAGCAAACCGACGGCAACAUAAGGAAAUAGCAAAGGGGGAAUGCGAUAGAAGAAAGUCAUAAUCAAACGCUACAUACCAAGAAUACACGUUAUGUAGCAGAGAAGACACCACAAUAAUACACAAGUCAAAAAAGUCCAGAAGCGGCGUCAGACAAGAAUAUUUUAUUCAACAAAAAAAAUAUGAAAGAGGUAAAAGACAAGUAUUUUAUUCACUAAAAAAACUUCGAAAGACGUAAGCAAUAUUCAGCACACCAGAAAAUACGCCCACAAAGGUAUGCAACAGGAAAGGGGGAAAA